rnacentral:rRNA from 1 species
CCUACGGGAGGCAGCAGUAGGGAAUAUUGCUCAAUGGGGGAAACCCUGAAGCAGCAACGCCGCGUGGAGGAUGAAGGUUUUCGGAUUGGAAACCCCUGUUGGUAGAGAAGAGAAGGACGGUACCUAACGAAUAAGCACCGGCGAACUCCGCCCCAGCAGCCGCGGUAAUACGGAGGGUGCAAGCGUUACUCGGAAUGACUGGGCGUAAAGGGAGCGUAGGGGGGAUGGCAAGUCAGAUGUGAAAUCCUAUGGCUUAACCAUAGAACUGCAUUUGAAACUGUUAUUCUAGAGUAUGGGAGAGGUAGGUGGAAUUCUUGGUGUAGGGGUGAAAUCCGUAGAGAUCAGGAGGAAUACUCAUUGCGAAGGCGGCCUGCUAGAACAUAACUGACGCUGAUGCGCGAAAGCGUGGGGAGCAAACAGGAUUAGAUACCCUUGUAGUC